rnacentral:rRNA from 1 species
GAUGAACGCUGGCGGCGUGCCUAAUACAUGCAAGUCGAGCGAACAGACGAGGAGCUUGCUCCUCUGACGUUAGCGGCGGACGGGUGAGUAACACGUGGAUAACCUACCUAUAAGACUGGGAUAACUUCGGGAAACCGGAGCUAAUACCGGAUAAUAUAUUGAACCGCAUGGUUCAAUAGUGAAAGACGGUUUUGCUGUCACUUAUAGAUGGAUCCGCGCCGCAUUAGCUAGUUGGUAAGGUAACGGCUUACCAAGGCGACGAUGCGUAGCCGACCUGAGAGGGUGAUCGGCCACACUGGAACUGAGACACGGUCCAGACUCCUACGGGAGGCAGCAGUAGGGAAUCUUCCGCAAUGGGCGAAAGCUUGACGGAGCAACGCCGCGUGAGUGAUGAAGGUCUUCGGAUCGUAAAACUCUGUUAUUAGGGAAGAACAAAUGUGUAAGUAACUAUGCACGUCUUGACGGUACCUAAUCAGAAAGCCACGGCUAGCUACGUG